CGGUAAUACGUAGGGCGCAAGCGUUAUCCGGAAUUAUUGGGCGUAAAGAGCUCGUAGGCGGUUUGUCGCGUCUGCCGUGAAAGUCCGGGGCUCAACUCCGGAUCUGCGGUGGGUACGGGCAGACUAGAGUGAUGUAGGGGAGACUGGAAUUCCUGGUGUAGCGGUGAAAUGCGCAGAUAUCAGGAGGAACACCGAUGGCGAAGGCAGGUCUCUGGGCAUUAACUGACGCUGAGGAGCGAAAGCAUGGGGAGCGAACAGGAUUAGAUACCCUGGUAGUCCAUGCCGUAAACGUUGGGCACUAGGUGUGGGGGACAUUCCACGUUUUCCGCGCCGUAGCUAACGCAUUAAGUGCCCCGCCUGGGGAGUACGGCCGCAAGGCUAAAACUCAAAGGAAUUGACGGGGGCCCGCACAAGCGGCGGAGCAUGCGGAUUAAUUCGAUGCAACGCGAAGAACCUUACCAAGGCUUGACAUGAAUUAGUAAGGCGCAGAAAUGCGUCCCCCUCUUGAGGCUGGUUUACAGGUGGUGCAUGGUUGUCGUCAGCUCGUGUCGUGAGAUGUUGGGUUAAGUCCCGCAACGAGCGCAACCCUCGUUCUAUGUUGCCAGCGCGUGAUGGCGGGGACUCAUAGGAGACUGCCGGGGUCAACUCGGAGGAAGGUGGGGACGACGUCAAAUCAUCAUGCCCCUUAUGUCUUGGGCUUCACGCAUGCUACAAUGGCCGGUACAAAGGGUUGCGAUACUGUGAGGUGGAGCUAAUCCCAAAAAGCCGGUCUCAGUUCGGAUUGGGGUCUGCAACUCGACCCCAUGAAGUCGGAGUCGCUAGUAAUCGCAGAUCAGCAACGCUGCGGUGAAUACGUUCCCGGGCCUUGUACACACCGCCCGUCAAGUCACGAAAGUUGGUAACACCCGAAGCCGGUGGCCUAACCCCUUGUGGGA
rnacentral:rRNA from 1 species